UACAGAGGUCUCAAGCGUUGUUCGGAUUCAUUGGGCGUAAAGGGUGUGUAGGUGGCGCUGUAAGUCGGGUGUGAAAUCUCGGGGCUUAACUCCGAAACUGCAUUCGAUACUGCGGUGCUUGAGGACUGGAGAGGAGACUGGAAUUCAUGGUGUAGCAGUGAAAUGCGUAGAUAUCGUAAGGAAGACCAGUGGCGAAGGCGGGUCUCUGGACAGUUCCUGACGCUGAGGCACGAAGGCCAGGGGAGCAAACGGG
rnacentral:rRNA from 1 species